GAACCCGGAGGCGGAGGUUGUAGUGAGCCGAGAUCAUGCCACUGCAUUCCAGCCUGGGGGACAGAGCAAGAUUCCGUAUCAGAAACAAACAAACAGAAAAACCAACAACAAAAAAAACCAAAAAACAAAAAUAACACAUGCUUAUCCUUACUAUAAACAGGAAAACCAUCCAAAGAUGUAUACAGAGAAAGUAAUCGCCAUUCCCACCCCAACUCCCAGGUUCACACUACUCAUCUAGAGUAAAAGUCCUCAUGAAUUCACUGCAAGACAAGAACACAGGAAAGCAACUACCACACAGAAGAGAUGUGGACCCCAAAACGUUGGUCUCUUACAUC
rnacentral:lncRNA from 1 species